rnacentral:rRNA from 1 species
UGGGGAAUAUUGGACAAUGGGCGAAAGCCUGAUCCAGCCAUGCCGCGUGUGUGAAGAAGGUCUUCGGAUUGUAAAGCACUUUAAGUUGGGAGGAAGGGCAUUAACCUAAUACGUUAGUGUUUUGACGUUACCGACAGAAUAAGCACCGGCUAACUCUGUGCCAGCAGCCGCGGUAAUACAGAGGGUGCAAGCGUUAAUCGGAAUUACUGGGCGUAAAGCGCGCGUAGGUGGUUUGUUAAGUUGGAUGUGAAAUCCCCGGGCUCAACCUGGGAACUGCAUUCAAAACUGACUGACUAGAGUAUGGUAGAGGGUGGUGGAAUUUCCUGUUUAGCGGUGAAAUGCGUAGAUAUAGGAAGGAACACCAGUGGCGAAGGCGACCACCUGGACUAAUACUGACACUGAGGUGCGAAAGCGUGGGGAGCAAACA